rnacentral:rRNA from 1 species
GUGGGGAAUAUUGGACAAUGGGCGCAAGCCUGAUCCAGCCAUACCGCGUGAGUGAUGAAGGCCUUAGGGUUGUAAAGCUCUUUCAGUGGGGACGAUAAUGACGGUACCCACAGAAGAAGCCCCGGCUAACUUCGUGCCAGCAGCCGCGGUAAUACGAAGGGGGCUAGCGUUGUUCGGAUUUACUGGGCGUAAAGCGCACGUAGGCGGAUCGUUAAGUCAGGGGUGAAAUCCUGGAGCUCAACUCCAGAACUGCCUUUGAUACUGGCGAUCUAGAGUCCGGAAGAGGUGAGUGGAACUCCUAGUGUAGAGGUGGAAUUCGUAGAUAUUAGGAAGAACACCAGUGGCGAAGGCGGCUCACUGGUCCGGUACUGACGCUGAGGUGCGAAAGCGUGGGGAGCAAACAGGAUUAGAUACCCUAGUAGUCC